AUCCCGAUAUAAUAAAAAUUUACCAAGUAAUCUACACAAUUGUUCCCGGCCUUUCGAAAUUUAUUACACCCAGCAACCAACCCUCAAGUAUCAAGCAACUUCAAGCAAAUCAGAAUAGCAUUUGGCAUAUAUUUGAGAUAAGCAUAUUUGGUGUGCCAGGCCAAUUGCAAAGGCCUAGAAAUUAGCCUCCAUUUCAUGAGGAUAUAUUCUAAAUACACUACUCAACUAACAACAGGCCAAAUCAAAUUUUAUUUAAGGAAAAAAAAAAACAAGCCAAGCUAUACCUGUUAAAGGACAUUGGUACAUAAGAAUUGAUCCUCUAAAUAAUGGCAGUUAAAUUAUAUGCUAAGCAUCAGAUGCAGUACUUAACUUUUGAAAGGGCUUCUAGUUCAGUGGUUCCAUUGAAUCCACUUGCCCAGAGAGUGGUAUAAAUAGGUGUCUUCACAGGGAGCUGAAGCUCAUCAUCAUCACUACCAUCAAGCUAGCAAUUAGCUACUAUUUGUGAAGAAGAACUCAGAAGAUGGCCUCCAUGAAGGUUGAGAAACCUGCUGGCUCCCAGCCUGCUGCCCCUUCCAAGAAGGAGGCCAAAGCUCCGGCCUCCAAAUCGACCCCCAAGAAGCCCCGGGAGCCCAGGAAGAAGACAUCAGGUAGCAAGUCAUCUGCUGCUAAAAACUAAGGAUCGGAGAAGGAUGAAUGAAAAGUUUUAAGACUUAAAGACUCUAUAUGUAUGAUGUUUGUAUCUGUGUGAUUUUCAUAUAAAGCAGAUGUGGCUGCUGAUUUUACUUUUUGCAUGAUGUAAUUAAAGCACUUACUGGCUUGUAAGCUUGAUUGCAUCUGCCUUAUAAUGUUAUAUUUGCCUUAAUGGUUUUUAUUCUCUA